rnacentral:rRNA from 1 species
CACGUAGUUAGCCGGGGCUUCUUAGUCAGGUACCGUCAUUCUCUUCCCUGCUGAUAGAGCUUUACAUACCGAAAUACUUCUUCACUCACGCGGCGUUGCUGCAUCAGGGUUUCCCCCCAUUGUGCAAUAUUCCCCACUGCUGCCUCCCGUAGGAGUUUGGGCCGUGUCUCAGUCCCAAUGUGGCCGGCCACCCUCUCAGGUCGGCUACUGAUCGUCGCCUUGGUGGGCCGUUACCUCACCAACCAGCUAAUCAGACGCGGGUCCAUCUCAUACCACCGGAGUUUUUCACACCGGACCAUGCGGUCCUGUGCGCUUAUGCGGUAUUAGCAGUCAUUUCUAACUGUUAUCCCCCUGUAUGAGGCACGGUUACCCACGCGUUACUCACCCGUCCGCCGCUCAGUCAUACACGCUUCCAUCCGAAAACUUCCACACUCUAUGCUUCGCUCGACUUGCAUGUGUUAAGCACGCCGCCAGCCGUUCAUCCUGAGCCAGGAUA